CCAGUUUUUAGGUUAAUUUCUGGGUUUACUAUCAAUGCAUCAUUCAGUUUAUUUAAAUUUGGACCACAUAUCUAACAGUGGUUUAGGACUUGAGUUUUUCUUUUUGCCAGUAAUUUUCUCUCUUUUGAUUCAAAGCUGAAGACAUGAGAUACAUUGCUUUAUGGAUAAUAGCUACUUUUUCUAACCCAUGAGGAUAAAAUGAAAUCUGAAUUCCAACUGCUCCCCACCAUGUUGUUUUUAAAUGAGCAUUACAGUUUUAGCACUGGGCUUAUAGGAUUCUAUGCCUUCUCUAACACCUGAGGGUUGGCACUGAAUUACUUUUAGAUUAUUGUCCUUGUACUGAUGUUAUUUCUCCUUUCUAUGGAGAUCUCUUGUCUUAUUGUGAUUUAUUUAAUAUUUUCCAUUUUAUCCAGAAUUUUUAGGUACUUAAAAUACAAAGUUCAUCAGUUCAGUAUUCAUGAUGCAAAACGUUGGCCUCAGAGUUUUCUGUAGUAACAUUUAGUAAAAGAAAACAAAAGAAUAUUGUCAACAUAGCUCUAAAGUAAAUAAGUGACAAAAAUCAAGGCAAUAACAGGACAAACAUGAAUUCAAACAACAAAUAGAAAAUGAGAAAUAAAAUAAGAGGAGGUAAGGAAUAAAUGAAUUUAAGCUUAGAACUAAGACAAAAUAAUUAUAAAUUUUAGCAUUGCAGUACACAAUUUAAUGUUACAAACUUUAGUUUUUUGGUUUUUUUUGAGGGGGUACCAGAGAUUGAACUAGGGACCUUACACUUGCGAGGCAGGUGGCAGAGCCACUGAGGUAAAUCCCCAGCCCACAAACUUUGGUAUUAUUCAAAGAAUAAUAUAUCUACAAAAAUAAAUUGGAAAAAUAAGGUGUCAAGAAGCAUAGUAGUGUGAAUUUCAUCUUUUAGAAGAAAAAUAAAAUUAAUAUUGUUAAGUAAAAAUUUGGUUUAAAACUUAGUACCUGACGAAAAAUUUG
rnacentral:lncRNA from 1 species